rnacentral:rRNA from 1 species
GUGUCAGCAGCCGCGGUAAUACGGAGGUUCCUAGCGUUGUUCGGAAUUACUGGGCGUAAAGGGAGCGCAGGCGGAUUGAUAAGUCUAAAGUGGAAUCCCGGGGCUCAACCUCGGACGUGCUUUGGAUACUGUCAGUCUUGAGUUCGUGAGAGGAAAGCGGAAUUCAGGGUGUAGCGGUGAAAUGCUUAGAUAUCCUGAGGAACACCAGUGGCGAAAGCGGCUUUCUGGCACGAAACUGACGCUGAGGCUCGAAAGCGUGGGUAGCGAACGGGAUUAGAUACCCCAGUAGUCC